rnacentral:rRNA from 1 species
UGGGGAAUAUUGCACAAUGGGCGAAAGCCUGAUGCAGCGACGCCGCGUGAGGGAUGGAGGCCUUCGGGUUGUAAACCUCUUUCAGUAAGGGUGAAGGCUCUCUUUUGUGGAGGGUUGACAGUACUUGCAGAAGAAGCGCCGGCUAACUACGUGCCAGCAGCCGCGGUAAUACGUAGGGCGCGAGCGUUGUCCGGAAUUAUUGGGCGUAAAGGGUACGUAGGCGGGUAAGCAAGUUAGAAGUGAAAUCCUGUAGCUCAACUACAGUAAGCUUUUAAAACUGCUCAUCUUGAGAUAUGGAAGGGAAAGUGGAAUUCCUAGUGUAGCGGUGAAAUGCGCAGAUAUUAGGAGGAAUACCGGUGGCGAAGGCGACUUUCUGGCCAUAAUCUGACGCUGAGGUACGAAAGCGUGGGUAGCAAACAGG